rnacentral:tRNA from 1 species
AUUAUAGUGGCAGAAUAACAUGCGUAGGUUUUAAGCACCUAAGAUAAGUCAUCCUUCUAUUUCC